AAGCUUCUCCCAGUGUAAAUGGGUGCUGGAUGGACAUAACCUUGAACAGAUCAAAUACUUCAGUUAUCUAGGGCUCACAUUCCAUCAUACAGGAUCUUGGAAGCACCACUGGCAAACCUCCCUUCAAAAGGCGGACAUCACAAAGCUAGCCAUAAUCAGAUUCUUUUUCACAAAGGGCGGCAAAUAUGUACCAGCAGCCUUAAGGGUUUUCAACGCAAAACGCUGCAAAUGUCUGGCAUAAUGGGGACCCGCCAAAGCUAGAUGGCUUUCAGGCAAAAUUUAUACGAUCUCUGCUGCAGGUGCCCAACGGUACCAACUCCAUACUUCUGUUAGAAGCUGGUGAAUGCCCAAUUUCAACUAAAGCGUGGUGGGCUGCCCUAAAACAGGAUGGCAGGUUGAGAGGAGUUCCCUACCAGGACAGACUUUGCUUGUGUGCUCAAGAUAUCGAUUCCAUAAAACAUAUUUUGUUGCAUUGUGCAAAAUAUGAGCAAGCCAGGGCUGAACUGACACUACCCUUGCUGGUACCUUUCCCAGGAAAAUCAGAGGCUCGCUAUGUCAGGUUCCUAUUGGAAGACCGGACAAAUGCUAGAACAUUAGCAGUGGCAAAGUUUCUGUCGGUGGUUGCAAGAACAAAUAAUCCCUAUAUUCUGAACAAAAUGCUUGUUUAACCUGGAGGUAGGCUGUAUGAAUUGUGUAUUGCUUUGUAACGAUUUGUUGGGUCUCUGGACCGUAACAAAGAUUGAUGAUAAUAUUUUGUCCCAGCCUUCUAGUUCCAAAACUUCAGUAUCUUUUAGUAACAUCCACUCUUUCAUCCAACUCCAGCACGCUGCUUCAAAAUUGUGGGAGCCAGGAAGUCAUGGAAAAGGCUUGUAGUGAAGAUUAUAAUUUUCUCCCCAUCCGAACAACUACCCCUAAUUGCAGCAGCCAUGAACAUUACAGCCUCGCGCCCUUCUGUGUCUCUGACAGUGGGAGGUCGACGCAUUGAAGGAGUUCUGGACACGGGCGGAUGUAACAGUCGUGGCAAAAUCUGCUUGGCCUUCCAGUUGGCCCACCUGUCCAGCCACACAAGUUAUUGGUGUGGGAGGUGAAUCACAGGCACGGCGCAGUCUCCACCCAAUACUCAUCCAAAGCGAUAGCGGGGUUCAGAUCACCCUCUAUCCAUUAAUAAUGGACAUUCCAGUCUCCUUAUGGGGGCGCGAUAUUUUGGCUAUUGCAGACAUCAAAUUGGAGUAAUUUAUUCUAAGGGCCACCCCUGCACUUCCACGCACCGCACUGCCGUUACGAUGGAUCACCACUACCCUAGUAUGGGUAGAACAGUGGCCUCUACCAAAAGAAAAAUUAGCAGUGGCGGCCCAGCUUAUUUCUGAACAAUCGACCCUUGGCCACAUUGAACCGUCCUCAUCUCCCUGGAACUCCCCAAUUUUCGUUAUUAAGAAAAAAUCAGGCAAAUAGCGUCUUUUGCAGGAUAGGAGGAAAAUUAACCAACAGAUACAGCCAAUGGGAACUUUACAACCUGGCAUGCCAAAUCCAAAUAUGCUCCCACGAGAAUAUCAGUUGGCGGUGAUUGAUUUAAAGGAUUGUUUUUUUUUCUAUCCCACUGGCUCCAGCAGACAGGGAACGGUUUGCUUUUACAUUGCCAGUAUAUAACAAUUCGCAGCCCACCCAGCGAUAUCAGUGGGUUGUCCUGCCUCAAGGCAUGCGGAACUCCCCUACACUUUGUCAACAUUUUGUGGGUGAAGCAUUGAAACCUUUCUGCAGGCGCCACCUAGAGGUUUUACGUUAUCAUUUCAUGGAUGACAUUUUAAUCGCUGCUAAGGAACUCCCGCCUGGCAUUUUUCAAGAACUUUCUGCCACAUUAGCGGAAGCGGGACUCUGUAUAGCGCCUGAAAAAAUUCAAUUGACGUUGCCCGCCACCUACUUGGGACAUAAAGUCUCUGCACAAGCAGCGCUGCCUAUUGUUCCCCAACUGACUAUCCCUUCAAACAUGAAGCUUGUGCAAUUACAACAACUUCUUGGGCAUUUGAAUUGGGCUCGCUCUUUCCUUGCAUUACCUACCAGCACACUAUCACCAUUGUUCUCAGCGCUCGCAGGACACAAGGAUCCAGCAGAUGUAAUCCAGGUCACUUCAGCAAUGAUCACUGCAUUACAAACCGUUAAUCAGCACCUGCGAUCUAUCCUCCUGGACAGGAUCACAGAAGCCUCUGCACACGAGCUGCAUCUGGCAGUGUUUGCUACACCAUUGUUGCCAACAGGAAUUUUAUAUGCUCAGACGGAAAAGAAGAAGACUAUCUGCAUUAUAGAAUGGCUACAUUUACCGCACACCCCACCAAAAAACAUUUAUUCCGUAAUUGAAUCCACAUCAGACAUUGUUAUCAAAGGACGUUCACGUGCUGUAGCUUUGAGCGGUUCUGAUGUUGCAUCAAUAUAUCUUCCCUUCUCACAGACUGAACAGCAGCAUUUAUUCAUAACUAAUGCUGCCGUGCAAAUUGCCUUGGCUGAUUUUAUAGGUGUCAUCAUUUUUAACCCUCCAAAGGAUGACCGUUUGACAUUUCUGACACAGGUCACCUAAGUUUUGGCUACCCCCCUUGUCUCUCACACCUCUCCCCUCUGCAUUGACCCUUUUCACAGAUGGAACAAGAAGUAGGGGGGUAGUGACAUGGGAGGAGGGAGGACAAUGGAAAUGUUUAUUUACCCCCCACAGUCUUCUGCUCAGCGAGCUGAGCUAGCGGCUGUGAGUCUUGCCUUUCAAUCCUUUCCUACUCAACCUUUCAAUCUUAUUGUGGAUACUCAGUAUGUAUAUCGCCUUUUUGCUAUUUUACCAAUAUCUUAUAUAACUCCUUCCUUGGAUUCUGACUUGUUUUCCUUGUUUCUUGCCCUGCAGGCCUUACUUCAGCACAGAGAGUUCCCUUAUUAUGUUGCACAUCUUCGCUCCCACACAUCGCACCCAGGGUAUUUAGCAGAGGGCAAUGCAAGAGCAGAUGCGGCUUUGAGGGACAUUUCUGCCUUUUCUCUCUUUUCUGAUCCUAUACUAUGUCAUAACACCUUUCACCUUCCUGCGAAAGCAUUGGCAAAGCAGUUUUCUAUUCCCUUGGCCCAAGCAAGGGAUAUAGUUUCCCACUGUGCUUCUUGUUCUAAAUCUCAGCUGGCCAUUCCUUUUGAUGCUGUCAAUCCUAGGGGCACGUCUGCAUUGGCGUGUUGGCAGAUGGAUGUCACACACACACCUGUGUUGGCUCCACUCUCCAAGGUUCACCUCACGGUGGACACCCACUCUGGAUUCAUAUGGGCUACGCCCAUGAGGGGGGAAACAGCUCGGCAUUUCAUUCAGCACACUAUCCGCUGUUUCUCAGUCAUGGGUAAACCUGCGCGUAUCAAAACUGAUAAUGGUCCAGCAUAUAUUUCUAAAACAUUUUCGGAAUUUUGUAUGUUGUGGAAUGUGAAAUUAACUCAUGGUAUACCCUUUAACUCCACAGGGCAAGCGAUAGUGGAAACAGCACACCUGACGUUCAAAACACUAUUGCUUAAACAGCUUGGCGGCCGAAGCAUACCAACAGCAGAUAUCCCUUCGGCAGUUCACCAAGUUCUUUUUGUACUUAACCGUCUUUUAUAUCCACAUCUUAGGACCCAUACCCCCGCUGAAUUGCAUUUUAGGAAGGAGGAGGCACUCCCCUGCCCCUUGGUGGUGUACCGACGCUUGCCUGAUCCCGCGUGGCAUGGACCUGUCCCGCUGAUCACGUGGGGAUGAGGGUACGCGGCAGUGGACGUUGAGGAUAAGCCUUUGUGGGUUCCAGCUCGAUGCGUGCGGCCAUGGUGAGCCUCCUCAACCGCGGAAGCGCCUUCCUAACCAUUUGCCUUGCCAUCCUUUGCUGCACCGUUAUACAAGGAAGAGAAGCAGACGACCCAGUCCAGUUGAAACCACCAUAUUUCACCUUAUCGGCUGGCAAGCAGCUGUCGUCUGAAUCUUACUCUGGCUGGCAGUAUGCACGGCUCAGCCACUUUCGAACUAGAAGAACAGCGUUGUUGAAUAAGACUUUUAGGGGAGAAAAUUAUCAUAAGAUAUGGAGGGAUAAUAUUUUUGUACAAGAUAUGAUUAUGUUUACCAGUUUAUUGCAUGCUUCUAAAUGUUGGGUGUGUAUGCCAGUCAUUCCGGCAUAAUGCUUCAUGGUGUGCCUGUCAAUGGAUCUUUUCAAUUUACUAAUAUUAUAUCCCCUAAGCAAACUUUUUGGCCUCCAGUACAAUUGACCCUCCAUGAGCCUGCCCCCAUUUGUUUUCAAAUUAAAGAGGGGAAAGAAUCAUGGGGCAUAUAUCCAAACUGUCAAUAUACAUUGAAUUUCACUUUUAAUAGCUCUUGUUCUCUUACAGGAACAUACAUGACCAAUCUCAGUGCUAUAGAAGCGAUACCAGUGCAUGGCUAAAAACUAGGAAAGAAUCCUACUAUGCAAAUUGGAGUCUGAAUUCUUCUAUCCCUGGCUUAGCAAAUGCCACAGAUGAGCAAUUUCAUAUCAGUUCCUUAUUUACUGCAGCCUUUAAUUGGUCCCAACAGAGUAGUAAUAUCAGCUAUUUACUCCAAAGAGAGUUAUGGUUGCUUUGUGGCGAAAAAGCAUACAAAGCCAUUCCUUGAAACCUCACAGGCACAUGUACAUUGGGUCUCGUGGUUCCAUUGUUGUAUAAGGUUGAUAAGUUACCAUCUUCUCUUAGACUACGAAAUCGUCGGGAGGUUAAUCCGCCCUUAAACCAAUAUAUCGGUACCCAGAUCUCUCGGGCCUUGCUGCCCUCAGUGGGCGCAGCAAUGAACUAUAGGGACCUCCAUCGGCUAGCAAAUUGGACUGAAGGAUUAUUCAAUGAUACCAUAAAAGCUUUGAAGAAUCUCAACCAGGAGGUGUCUGCAAUGAGAGCUGUGGUUUUACAGAAUCGUUAUACCUUGGAUGUGAUUUUAGCCUCAAAAGGAGGAGUUUGUGCACUUGUUCAUUCUCAUUGUUGUAUGUUUAUUCCCGAUAAUAAUGUCAGCAUAUCUGCGACGAUUGAUCAUAUGGAAACCAUGGUAGCUCACAAUCCGUUUGCUCCUCCGCCUUCCGUUGAUCCAUGGGCAUGGUUAUAUUCUUGGCUUCCGAAUGGAAGUUGGCUUCGACAUUUAUUGAUUUUAGUGAUCAUUAUAGUAGUUAUUUGCAUUAUUUUGUGUUGCUGUAUACAAUGUAUUCCUUCUUUAAUUUCUAUAUGUACUGCAUGGUUCUCCCGUCAACGGCCUGCUUCUGGCCUCACAAGAGUCGCCUAUCACGCUCAAUAUAACCGUAUUGGUACUGAUAUAUAUGACUCUGAUUAAAAAUAUAAAGAAAGAGGACAUGUGGGAGCCAGGAAGUCAUGGAAAAGGCUUGUAGCGCCACCUGGUGCCUCGCUGACCUCGGUGACUGCAUGUCCGUGCCUUGCAGUGUAUUAAGUGCAUGACCCUAUAUGGCGAUGGGUGGGUUUAAGACAUGACCGGAUGUAGGUAAUGUGAGACAUUGGCAAACGGCCAUGCGAGAGGAGAGAACAAAGGAUAAUAAAAGUUACGGGAGAGAAGAGAAGUUCGAAAGGAGCUGCUCAUACCAUCCUGAAAAUAUUGCUGGCUCUCUGUGUCUUUAUUUUAUGCUAAACUGCGCCAUUUGUGACGGCUGGCUCGGACACAAAAUAUCUUCUUAAAUCUAGGACUGCAAAUGCCCCCGUUUCUUUUGGCCCCA